rnacentral:piRNA from 1 species
UAAGUAAGUUAUUGUUCAAUCAAACUGAAG